CACGAGAACCUCCUGCAAGACCAGCCUCAGCUGCUCGCGCUGUGACGGAGGUCCAGUCUGGAUGGGCAAACCUUCCGCUUUCUCCUUCACAGGAUCUGCAAGGACAGAGAGGGAACUUCCCUGUUGGACACCCUUGUCGACUUCUUGGGGAACUUGUCAUCCAGGUCGAUGAUGAAACUGACCAGCAUGGCCUCCAGCACGCUGAGGCCCACCAGGGCGAACACACCCACGCAGAAGUUUGCUGAAAGGCAUCAGAGGCGUCGUCAGCGAGAGCGCGACAGGACGGAUGCGACCGCCCGCUCGCUCACCUAUGAUGGGCAGGCUGUCCUCGGUGGAGGGCAGCAGGUCCUUGAGGAUGAGCAGCAAGACGGAGAUGGACAGCAGGACAGUGAUCUUGAAGCUCAACUUCUCGCCCCGGGCUUCGCUGAUGAAGAAGGACGCCACGUCCAACACCAGCAGGUAGAAGAGCGGAAUGAUGAAGUUGAUGACAUACAGCAUUGGCUUCCGCACGAUUUUCACCUGUGCGCAAUGGCCAAUUAUGAUGAGAAACAUAAUCUGAGGAGCUCAACUGUGAAUUCUUGGAAUGCAGCAGAAGUGGACUUGACGCAAACCUCACCUGGUAAACCAGCGAACUCCAAUUCUCCCAUCUCUCGGUCUUCUGAGUGAUUUCCAAGUGCUUCAGGCUCCACUCCCCACGAGUCACCAUAGACUGCUCCGAGAUGUUUGUGAGAAAUUCGUCGCCGGCGAAGGCCCCGACUCGUAUGGCCUGAUCUGAUUUGGGAUUGGGACGACAGGCGUUGAAGAAGCUUCCUUUCCGACUCUUAGCCCGCCGUCCACUCUUACCGUCACUGAUCAUGGAGGAGAAGGUGAUGUUGCAGCUCUGCCGGUCGAAGGGGAAAUUCCAAAGGUCCAGCGUGCACGUGGAUGUCAGCCGCUGACGGGCGCUCUUGUGAAUCAUUCCGUUGGAGAACACCCUCACAUGCUCACUCUCCUGGACGCUCCCGCUAUCCGAGGCACUGCGAUUGGUCAGAGAAAAAUAAAGACAAACUUUGUGUGUCUUUCCAGGCAUGACUUCCUAGGACUUGACCUCAAGGAUAGCCAUGCCAACCACAUCUCAUGUUCAGUGAAACUGAAUUUUAUGGAAGACGCUGUGACCCUAAAAUGGCUGCGCCAAACCAAAAUUCCAGACUUCUGCGACUUUUCCGUCAGAUAUUGCCGCUGUGUGCGUCCAUUAGUUGUGCAAACGCACGCACAAAGGUCUUGUUCUUAUUGUGCGGUUUGAUUACACGUGACGUUCUGCAAACGCACGGAAGCCGCUAUUCAAAUCGCUCACAAUGAUUAUAUAAUAGUCAUGUCUUGUGUUACACUGAACAUGUGUGAGACACAAAAGGCACAGUGCGGCGGACUCGAGAGUGCCACCUGCUCUUACGUCAGCAACAACGAUGGAAAGAUGAGCUAAGUCAACUCACUCCUCUUGGAUGUUUACGUUAGGCGUCCACAGUUUGGAGCUGGGAAAGGUGAAUUCGGUGAUGUUGCAGAAAUCGGACGGUUUCCACCUGAGGAAAUCGUUCUUCCAGAGCUGCCAAACAGAAAAGAUAAAACGAGCACCACAUAGAAAUUGUUAAUUUGAUACGCGUCGACUGAGAGGCUUCUCACCAUUUGAAUCCACACGUGGCUCAUGAAGGUUUGAAGCUUCUCAUCCUGCGCAUUGACAACAAAGAAAAUUAAAGUAGAGAAACUAUUUUCAUUUUGCGUUCUAAAAUUUUUGCAGGCUGAUGCAAAAAUGUGUAUGACGUCAAAAAUUGACGUCAACCUGUUGCCAGCCAAUCGCAGGGCACACAGAGGCGAACAACCAUCCGCACUCGCACUCACACCUAGGGGCAAUUUGGAGUGCUCAAUCGGCCUACCAUGCAUGUUUUUGGUAUGUGGGAGGAAACCGGGGAACCCACGCAGGCACGGGGAGAACAUACAAACUCUACAGGGAGGGCCGGAAGUGGAGUCGAACCCGCACGCCCCAAAUUAUAAGACGCUGUGCUAACCAGUGCGCCACAAAAGAAAACCACACAAAACGACAAAGAAAUUCUAAACUCUCAGCAUAAAACACUCAAAAUGAGACAGCUGGCAUUAACUGACAUCUGAUACAUGAAAUACAGAAAAUAUCAAGUACACUUUUUUUGUGACUUACCACCUGAAAGAUGCCGUAUAGCAGCAUGUUUAUCUUCACGUCAGUGACCUGCCUCCAGUCCUUGACGGGCCUGACGUUGGCCAGGUAUUCGUUGGAGGAGCUCAGCUUUAAGUGCUCCAGCAGAUCCGAGUAGGAACACUCGUUCGCCCGGUUGCACGAGGCUACAAAGACAAGUUGCCGACUCAUCAAAAUAACUUUGAAUGAGAUCGAACCGCAUGGACUCACCGGCCAGGCUCAAAAGGACGACAGCUCUCCAGGCCGACAUGCUCGUUUGCCUCAGCCGCUAAAACGGCGGCUUGAUAAAGUGCGCGCGGUGGGAGGCUUGUGUCAACAGCACAAUAAUGGGCCGCUGAACGCAUCGCGGCGCUCCUUCAGCCUAUUAUACCCAAUGUGACCAAUUGAGUCAACAGAUGUGGAAAACGUUUACACGAGUAAAAUGUGACAUCACAAUGAGGACAAUUCAGGCACGUCCUCGCUCAGUCAAAUUAAAAACUUAUAUACUGUAAAAUUAACAUGGUUUUUAUCUUUAUUGUGUUCGCUUAUUAGAUGAUUUAUUGUAAGUAAAAAUAUGAGCACAUAUGAUCUGACGCAUAUUAACAAUAUUACUAAACUAAAAUAAAAAAAAAAUAAAAAAUUACUAAAUUGCUCCA